CAGUACUGGUCUUWGAGGGCCACCAURCUGCAUGUUUUACUUAUUUCUCUGCUUCAACACCUGAUUCAGUGACUGAAUGACCUUGUCAAGUUCUGCACAAGCCUUUUAAUCACUCUCAUCCAAAUCAGGUGUGUUUUAACAAAGGAGCCUCAACAACAUGCAGAUGAUGGCCCUGGAGGAGCAGGAUCAGAUUUUUAAUGAGAAUUCAAAUUAAAACAUGGGCUCAAAGCACCACUCAGAUGUAAUAUACAUCAUCACAUCAUCUGCAAAAAGAUGUGCUUUGUUUUGCUUAUAUGGUAACAUGUUAAUCUGACUAAAGCCAGUCAAAGUGAGGUGAUUGAAACAGAGGAUUCUGAAUACAGAAGACAAAACGACUGCCAUGGAGCAUUACACUACAGUGGAUGUUGGAGACYUCUUUUUUUGGUUUUGUUCAUCUGUUAAAAAUAAUCCACAAACUAUCACCACUGCUUUUUCUUCGUCGGCCAUGUUUAUUUAAUCUGAACUCAUGUUUGAUCUUGAGAGAUUUUGCGAGAUGUCCUGCCUUUCAUCUGAAUGUUGACCUGGCUGACGUGGACCAGAGGCCAUUUAGGAUCCUUUUGGCAGUUUUUUAAACCUGUACAAGAUGCUACAGCUAGCUGUUGGACUGCCGGCGCAGUUUGGGYCGCUUCCUGGAGAACUGUACUAUUCCAGCCAGAAUUACCAUAUAAAGGCUUGGCUCAGACUACUGAGUCUGGUCAAAAAUAAACCAUUUCUACAAAACUACGGUUGUUCAAAGAGCUAUCUACAACAGACCAGCGUGGCGCUAGCAGCUGAGUAAAUCAUGGCCUGUUCUUGCAUUUCUCACAUAAUCACAGCUUCGUAUCUGGCAUCCGUCCAGUUUCAGACCACAGCAGCUCUGUACGAUGACACACACACACACACACACACACACACACACACACACACACACACACACACACACAUAUUUUCCUGUCUCCUGAAUGGAGCCUUUGUGCUGAAACAUUUAUUCCAGCUCAGAAAGGCCCGCCCCCACAGAUCCACAUGUUCAGGGUGGUAAUGAUGGAGCCUCAGAGCACUGCUCUAAUCUGCUUCCUCCGUCAGGUUCUCAGAUCCCAGAGGAAUACAGCCAACAUGGCAGAACAAACUCACACACAC